UUAACUCAACCUCAACUACCCCUCCUCUAACUCUCUCUCUCUGUCUCUGUCUCUCUCUCUCUCUCUCUCACGGUAUCUCCUCUGACUGUCUCUCUCACGAUCGAAGAAGAAAAGAAAGAAGAAAGCAGUCUCUAACACUCUCUCUCUCUCAGCGGCUCCGACGCCUUCGACAUAGCUUUUUUUCGAUGUCAGUGACCAUUGCUUGUGUAGCAGGAGCAGAUGAUCCGGUGGCUGUUUGUUUGAGGCAAUGUUACGUAACCUGCACGAGCACUGGAAUCACUGACCCUUUCUGUUUGAAGAAUUGUCAGAGACAAUGCAACCAUGAAGAGUUGUCGGAGACAAUGCUACCAACAGCCACCACGACGGCCGGAAAAGGCCGUAAAUAAUAGUGAGGAGGAGAGUGUUGUUGUGUAAGAAAAACAUGUUUGGAGAGAAGUAUCAGCGGAUAUAUCUCGAUGUGUUGUAAUAAAACAUGAUAUGGUGUUGCUUCUUUUAUUCUAAUUAAUUUUUUUUCUAAUCAAUA